rnacentral:piRNA from 1 species
UAAAGUGGAUGAAAUGGC